AUGCUUGGAUAAUUCCAGCCAGAUUUCCUCUCAAAUAAUUUCGUAUUCAUCGAGAAAGCUGCUUAAUCGUAUCAAUUUCCACAUAUGCAGCAGCUAAUAAAAUGUUCGUGCUUUCAGUAUCCGGAUUUCAAACUUUAUUCGUCCUGAUAGUUAAAUUAUAACAGAUGUUGCGAAAUGGAGCACACGUUGUGCGUAUAUGGAUAAUCCCAGACGGUUUGGCGCCAGUUAUCGUUGCUGAUAAUUCAAUGUUUGCUGGUUUCAUUAGAGAGCUACUGUAGGCAAGACUCGGUUUUCAAACGUAGAAAUAUAAUUGCUUAAUUUUGGUUGAUGUUGCAUGUUGUUGAUGAUGCUUAAUGGUUAAUUUUGGCUUGUUGUUUAACUAGGUGUGAUUUGAUCUGAUGUUUUUUGUUCCAAAUUAUGUCAGCAGUAUUGAUACCAAUAUCUGUAUUUCAAAUUGUAUGUAAAACAGUCAACAGGAGAAAAUUCUAAAGAUUAAACCACGAGUAUUUGAGCAGACUUGUUAAGGCUUUUCAUGUUCGGAGUAGGCUUCACAUGAUACUGGAUAAUAUUUUACAAAAUGCCAAACAAUCCUUUACAGUUCCAUUUAGCCAUCAGCGGCGGUGCCCCAACGCAUGACCCCUUGAAAUAUCGACGGACACUUCUUUAAUUUUUUUGCUGUGGAGAUUGGUGGUCAAGAAAAGUCAAACUGACGGUCGUAUAAACUGCAAUUCCGGAUAUUCCAUGAUUUUAUCUUUCGCAUGAAGGCAUGAGCCGCGUCCCGCCGCGAAACCGGCCAUAUCGGGUAUCAGAUUGGCAUUUCGUGAGCGCACAGUCUCAUAUAACAAGUAAAUAUAAAUAAAAUAAAAAAAAACGGUGUCAGAAGGGCAUCAAUGCAAACGGCGUGCAUUCAAAGCCCGUUUUUUACGCAACAUAAAGGCAAUGCCUCGGCUGUUUGGCUUGCCAUACAAGAUGAGAUUCAGUUCAAUCGGGAUGCCAGACUGACAGAGACUAAUCGGCGUUAACUUGCGAAGCAAGAUGUUUAAACAUAGCAAACUCUAUACUGUAAUAAAUAUUAUUUUAAUAAA